UUCCUUCCAGCGCAAACAGGGUCCGAGGGAGGGGCAAACUCUCCCACAAGUCUCCCAAGAGCUACACAUGGACCAGUGACACCAGAAUCCAACCAGAUGAAAAACUAUCCUCUCAGUCCAUUGAGCCAAAAUGCUGGUCUUGAAUAUUUUCCUAAUUGGGGAGGGAUGCUUUCCCAGUCGUUUUAAGAGCAAGAAAAUCUCCACGGAAAUAAUUGAUCCCAGAAAAAGCCACUAUCUUGGAAAGUGAAAAAGGGUCACCCAGGGGACCAGUAGCUGACCUGUGAACAGAAGCCAGGUCACCUGAGUCCCAAUGCUAUCAGCUGACGGGAUGUUCAGGAACAAGCAAGCUUGG